UGUAACUGAAUUUUCAAGGAGUGAUACUAGAAAAAAUCAAAAUUUAUUCAUUAAUAGAGUACAAUGGUACUUAAAUCCGAUUACAAACACAAGAUACAACUUUCAGACAUUCAAUCGUAUUAGAAAACAAUUCAAAAAUUGCUAGUGACUACAAGAGUGAGGAAUAAUUAUUGUUGACAGGGAAAUAAGGAACUACAAUUGGAGCUCCCAUUGAUUUUUCCUUGCUCUUUGGUUUCUCUGAAGUUGAAGAUUUCAUUUGAGAUGAAUUUUGAGCAUAAUCAGAAACUUGAGAUGAUGAGUUUGAAGAGAGACCAAAGCAAUUGAAGAACGGUAAAAUCAAAGCCAUGAUUAAUUGAGAUGUGACUUGAAAUUGAAAUGAGGUUUUUGUUUGUGUAAUUGUGCCAGUUGCUGAAAUGAUUUAGUUGUAAUGUUUAUAGUGUCGUCAUAUUAUAAUCAUAAAAAGGUUAGGAAGGUUCUACGUUGGACCAUUUGCUUAGCAAGCAAGGAGAAUAUAUUUGAUACCACAGCAUGUGUUUGAAAAUUCUUCCAUAUUUGGGAACAUAGUAUUUGUCUUAAUUAAUAAGCAUGAUUUUUUUUUUGGACUCAAGUGUUUGCAAAAUUCCGACGAUGUUUCGUUGCUUUCGAACAAAAUAAAUUUUUCCAAAUUAAUUUCACUAAUAAUUUAUGAAAAAUGCUAUUUGGUGCGAAAUAAAAUUCAUGAGAAACACACAAAUGAGUUGCAGCAACCAUUUCUUAAUGUGUUGGUUAUUCUAGACACUCUCAUUUGUUUCGGUGCUUCACCUUUAUCUCUUUUUUUAUCAAAGCACUACAAAAUAAAAAUAGAAGAGGCCUGAACCAAUACAAGAAAACCAAUACAAGAAAGUCACACAGUAGAAAACAUGUAAAAAGAAAAUCCAGAUCUAUCCUAAAAAUGAUAUAGGAGUACUUAAUCAACAAGUAAAUAAGGAUUCAUAGUUAUCAUUCACCACCUUAUAUAUAGGAAGAAACUGUGCAACAGUGUUUUGAAUAGCAUAUCAUAGGCUCUCACUUAGCUUAUAUUUAGGAGUUAGUUGCUUAUUAGCUUCUAUAUAUACAAACCGAUGUAAAUAAAUAUUAUUCAUUCAAAUAUACAUUGUUCCUUCUAUAAAGAAAAGAUCAUAGGAAAAAAAUUGGUUUUCUCCACUUUACAAAAAAGUCAGGCAGAUUAUGACCAUUCAUGAUUAUAACAGCUACUACAAUACUACCCUCUUUAUCAAAGAUUUACAAAAGCAUUAAUAUUCCUUGUUAUUUUAAUGCAAUUAAACCAACUAUUUCGUAUCUGUCAAGAUAACUUUGAAGAAACUCUUUUGGACACGAGUCCUCAUUUUGGCUGAGUUAAAGCUAGUCUUUAUCUCAUCCACGUGUUCAGUGACAAAUUUUGAAUGAAUGUAUUUACAUAUAAAAAGUUGCAAUAUGAUGCAUAAAACAUUUGUACUUGAUGGAUGUUUUUUCUUUUUUUUCCUUCUUCAAUUGAAGCAUGAUCUAACAUUGUUCUUGUUUGACAAGCUUCAUUUUCUCGAAUAAGAGCGCAUAACAAACAAGCAAAAUUGACAUUGACCAAGUGGAUACCAGAAUUAGGUACGUAAAUAACAAGAUUAUGAAUGUUAAUUUUAUUCUUUAUCAAAUAUUGAUCUUGGUAUUUAAAAACUAUUUAAACUAAUGUUAAGACGGGCACUCCGCACUCGUCGGUCUAAUUUUCUUAUAACGCUAAUUGUUAUAAAUUACAACAAUAGUUUUUAUGAAAUUUUAAUUAAUUAUUUUGAUUUUGACGAAUGCUCGAAUGCCUAAUUUACUUAUUGCGCCAAUGCAUAUAAAUUACAAACGGUAGUUUUUAUGAAAUUUUGAUUUAAAUGAUUUCGAUUACAAUCAUAAUAAGUAUUUUUUUUUUUUUUAAGAAUACAAUCAUAAGUAUAUAAAAUAGACAUUUUACACUUUUAUACUGUAAGAAACUAUAUUUAUUUAUUUUCUUAGUUAUUUUAAUUAUACCAAUAAUAUAACGAAUAUAAUAUUUUUUUUUAAAAUAUUACAAAUAUAAUAUAGUCAAAUAACAUUCUCAUAGUCAUAUAUAUUUACUUACGGGUAAUAAUUAGAAGACAAAAUAUCCUAUUUUCUUUAUAUAUAUAUAUAUAUAGACAAUGUAAAGACUCUAGUUACAUUUUUUAAAACUAAAUUCCACCAUCCAAAUUUCUAAUUUCAAAUUAGUCAUUUAUCUUGAUGGAUGAUUGUGUGUUUCAAAACAAGAGGGGAGGAGAGCGUACUAUAAGGAUCUAAGCAUGCUGUAAUUUACUCUAAUUUUUAUUUCAAAUAACUAUACUAAAAACAAUAUAAACAAAUAUUUAUGUUUACCCACAUUUGGAAACAAAAGUGAAGCAAUGGAAGAGCUAUAUGAAGAGUUAUGAAUAGUGCAAACAAACAAUGAAUUUUUCGCUGUAUAAAGCAUUUCUUGUUUAUAAAUUAGAAAGUAACGCAAAAUUAACAACUUUUUGAUCAUUCGGUAUGAAUGAAGUAACCACCCAUCAUGAGUACAUAGUUGAUGAUAGCACAUAAGUAUUUAAUCUUAUUGUGAAAUUAAAGAUAAGCAUUCUUAGUGUGAAUCAGUUUUUUUUUGGUUACAUGACUUAACCACUGAGCUAUGAACAUCUUUUUUUAGUGUGAAUCAGUUGAAACAUGUAUAAUGCAAUGAAAAUUAAAUAUUUUGUCGUAUAACCGUACUUAUGUAAACCUAUUUUCAAGGUUAAUUAAUCUGUAAUAUUCUAUAAGACCUCAUAACCACCAAAGGAAAAUAUGGUCCCUUGACAUAACUCCAAUUUGAUUUCAAGAAAACACAUUUAUAAAUGAAAAAUAUAUAAAUCUUGCUAUUAAUUUUUGCUGACAUUAAUUAAUUUUGUAAUUUCCCCUAAUAUAAACUUGUAUAGGAAAAAAUUUGCUUACUUAUGAAUUAUGAUUAUGAAGCUAAUUCCAGUAUUAAAACAUCUUUGAAAAUGAACAAUGUUCUGAUAUAAGAAAAAAAAAUCUAAAGCAAAAUAAACAGGGGUAUACGUGAUUGGUAAUAUCACUAUGCUUUUUGUUCUAUUUAAUUUCUUCUCGUCAUUGAAAUCCUUGAUUAGUUCUGGAACAUAAAUGAGAGUGAAGUUAGUGAUCUUGAGAAAAUUAGGGAUUUGACAAAUAAAACGGUCUAUUAAUAAAUCAAGAUUUAUUUUUCCUUAAAAAAAACAACAUUUAAUUUUUGUAAAUAAUAAAAUAAUAAAUUUGUUGACAUGUAAUCGUCAACGUAAUCGUUGCACAUUAUCCUUUAAUGCAUGAUGCCAUGAUUCCAUCCUUUAAUGAUGCCACUUAUUUAUAUGCAUGAUGCUAUCCUUUAAUGUGCACUUCCACCUGCUCUUGGUGCGUGUCACCUAAAGUUUAACAAGCCAACCCUAUCCUUUAAUGCAUGAUGCCAUGAUGUCAUGAUUCCAUCUUUUAAUGAUGCCACUUGUUUAAAUGGAUGAUGCAAUCCUUUAAUGUGCACUUACACCUGCUCUUAGAGCUUGUCACCUAAAGUUUAACAAGCCAACUCUAUCCUUUAAUGCAUGAUAUCAUCCUUUAAUGUGCACUUCCACCUGCUCUUAGUGCGUGUCACCUAAUGUUUAACAAGCCAAUUCUAUUAGUGAAAGUGAGAAAGGAACCGCUGGAAUUCAGUGUGAAUUUUCAGUGUAAUUUAAGUCGCGCUGUGUGAAUUAAGUUACAUUGAGUUUAACACUUGUGUGAGUUAACUUACGUAGGGUUAUUUUUGAAAGUUUAGUUGGAAAUGAGCAAAUCUUGUUGGGAGAGGAGCAUUCUUCUAAAAACUUCUUCUCGUAGAUUUUGCGUGAACUUAAUUCCAUAAACUUUAGUCUUUCGUUUUGCAUUCUUUUUUCUGUCUCCCUUAGAUUACUAUAAACAAGAAAAUAUUAACAUAUCUCUGAAUGAAGAUAUGCUAUGAAUUAAUUAUUAAUGGAACAACUUGUCAAUCUUUUAUCAAAUUUGAUCACAUAUCCAUUGAUGUCUAUGAAAGACAGGUGAGAUUUAGAGUGAGAUUAAAAAUGAUUUUGAAAAUAAUUCCUUUAAAAAAAAGGGUUUUGAAAUUUUUUUUAUAUAAAUAGGGUUAUUUCAGUACUAUGGUUAAAUUUGUAACUGGAUUUUUAUGGGAUGUAACUAGAAGGAAAAAAAAAUCAAAAUUUAUUAAUGAGAGUACAAAUGCUACUCAAAUCCGAUUACAAUCACCAUGAUAAAACUUUGAGGCAUUCAAUCUAGUGAGUAGUGACUACAUGAGUGAGGAAUAAUUAUUGUUAAUCGGGAAAUAAGUAACUACAAUUGGAGCUCCUAUUGAUUUUUCCUUGAUCUUUGGUUUCUCUGAAGUUGAAGAUUUCAUUUGAGAUGAAUUUUCAACAUAAUCAGAAACUUGAGAUGAUAAGUUUGAAGAGAGACCGAAGCAAUUGAAGAAAGCUGAAAUCAAAGCCAUGAUUAAUUGAGAUGUGACUUGAAAUUGAAGUGAGGUUUUUGUUUGUGUAAUUGUGCAAGUUGUUGAAAUGAUUUAGUUGUAAUGUUGUAGAUUGAAAUCAGGUAAUUAUCUUGGUCUAUAUUUAUAGGUCAUAAUAUUUGAGACCACACAGUCAUAAAAAGGUUAGGAAGGUUCUACGUUACUCCAUUUGCUUAGCAAGCAAAGAG
rnacentral:lncRNA from 1 species